AGCUCCAAUAGCGUAUAUUAAAGUUGUUGCAGUUAAAAAGCUCGUAGUUGGAUGUUGUAGUUUGUUGAAUUCGGUGCCUUUUGGUAUUCGUUUCAACAUCUACUUUUUCUCGAGGCAUAUAGGUGCACUUAACCGUGUGUUUAUAUUGUUCGGGACUUUUACCGUGAGAAAAUUAGAGUGUUCAUAGCAGGCUAGUGCUUGAAUAUUACAGCAUGGAAUAAUGGAAUAGGAUCAUGAUCUUAUUUUGUUGGUUUCUAAGAUCAAGAUAAUGAUUAAUAGGGAUAGUUGGGGGCAUUAAUAUUUAGUUGUCAGAGGUGAAAUUCUUAGAUUUACAAAAGAUUAACUUCUGCGAAAGCAUUUGCCAAGGAUGUUUUCG
rnacentral:rRNA from 1 species